AUUGAACGCUGGCGGCAGGCUUAACACAUGCAAGUCGAGCGGGGGAAGGUAGCUUGCUACCGGACCUAGCGGCGGACGGGUGAGUAAUGCUUAGGAAUCUGCCUACUAGUGGGGGACAACAUCUCGAAAGGGAUGCUAAUACCGCAGACGUUCUACGGGAGAAAGCGGGGGAUCCUCGGACCUUGCGCUAAUAGAUGAGCCUAAGGCGGAAUAGCUAGUUGGUGGGGUAAAGGCCUAACAAGGCGACGAUCUGUAGCGGGUCUGAGAGGAUGAUCCGCCACACGGGGACUGAGACACGGCCCAGACUCCUACGGGAGGCAGCAGUGGGGAAUAUUGGACAAUGGGGGGAACCCUGAUCCAGCCAUGCCGCGUGUGUGAAGAAGGCCUUAUGGUUGUAAAGCACUUUAAGCGAGGAGGAGGCUACUUUAGUUAAUACCUAGAGAUAGUGGACGUUACUCGCAGAAUAAGCACCGGCUAACUCUGUGCCAGCCGCCGCAGUAA
rnacentral:rRNA from 1 species